GAUGAACGCUGGCGGCGUGCCUAAUACAUGCAAGUCGAACGCUGGAACUCUAGCUUGCUAGAUUGAAGGAGUGGCGAACGGGUGAGUAAUACAUAAGCAACCUACCCACGAAGACUGGGAUAAUCUCUGGAAACGGGGACUAAUACCGGAUAGGUAAUCGGAAGGCAUCUUCUGAUUAUUAAAGGUUAAAAACACUGGUGGAUGGGCUUAUGGCGCAUUAGUUAGUUGGUGAGGUAACGGCCCACCAAGACGAUGAUGCGUAGCCGGCCUGAGAGGGUGAACGGCCACAUUGGGACUGAGACACGGCCCAGACUCCUACGGGAGGCAGCAGUAGGGAAUUUUCGGCAAUGGGGGGAACCCUGACCGAGCAACGCCGCGUGAGUGAUGACGGCCUUCGGGUUGUAAAGCUCUGUUGUAAGGGAAGAACGGUAGAUAGAGAAUAUCUAAAUGACGGUACCUUACCAGAAAGCCACGGCUAACUACGUG
rnacentral:rRNA from 1 species